AAACUGAAUAAAAAACUAAAAAUAAAUUUUAGUGUGGAUAAAGAUCGUUGCCAAAUAUAUAGUCAAACAUAUUUUAAAAUAUGUGAAAUUAAAUUUUUAAUUGCAAAAAAAAAUUUAGUUUUCACUAGUGGAACACUAAAAUAUAUAUAGACUUGUAUAUAGGAAGUAGCUUGAAGUGGGGCUCUCACUAACAACUUACUUGAUUUUUUAUCAGUAUACUCUGUAUACUCUACGGAAACUAGACUUAGUAGCCGUCUUUUUUCCAGUUCCAAAUGUAGAAAAUGUAAUAGAGAUAUGUAGAAAUAUUUGAAGGCCUCUCAGUUUGUAACUGCAGCUCUAUUCCAACUUAUGACAUUACCAACAUUUUCUUUUCUCUUCAAUUUCAAUGGCUAACAGAGUCGGCAAUGAAAGCGUAGUACCCGGCUGCAAGGAGAGUAUGACAGACAGCUUGUCGUUCGGCUGCUUAGAGCGCUCUGCGACUCAACUUGUUUUCAAGGGCCAGUCAAGACAAACACAAGCGGCCGAAGAGGGGAGCUGAGAGCGGAGAGCGGAGAGCGGAGAGAGGAAGGCGGGCUGUCUACUUUAUGGGCUAUUUGGGAAACCUUGACCAACUCGUAGAAACCUAUGCAAUUCAAAAGACUGUGGAAAUCGUUGUGGAACAUGAAAAACACCAACACCAACAGCAGCAGCAGCAACGGCAGUGGCAGCAUGCGUACCGAUGCGGAAAAUCUGAAAGGUCUUUAUUAUUAUGGCAAUAGCCGAGCAAAGCAAUCGCACAAGGAGAUUGCGGAUUGUCGGUUUUCAAAAAUAGUAUUAGUAUAGUAUUUAUUUAUUUAUUAAACAGAAAACGCAUAAUUA